AUAUAUAUAUAUAUAUAUAUAUGUAUAUAUAUAUAUAUAUAUAUGAAAUGGAGGAAAGAGAGCAUAUCAGAAGUCUUUCCUUACAGGAAGGUUUCAAUAAGUAUGUUUUCCCUCUUCUGAAAGAUUGCUCAAACACAUUUUAAUUCCUCUAAAGUGCUCAUUUUGAGAAAUUGUCUACAAAAAUAAAUUCUUCCCUCUGAAUUUUUUUCAUAUUCAUAUAGUCUUGUUCCUGUGUUCUCUAUGGAAAAAUGAGUAUCUCAGCCACCUGGGAUAUUAUUAUAGUUGAGGACUGUCAUCAAGAGGAAUGUGUAAUUGCAAUUAUCCUUAGCUCCAAAGGAGUUCGCAAUGGACACAUAAAAUAAAUUGAUUUGUACAAAUGGUAGAGCCAAAGAGGAAUCUUUAGAACUAGGUGUUGGCAGAAUUAUUUCAUUCAUUUGUGCUAAGUGCCCUCUCCUGGUCACUGUGAGUAACGUGCAGGAGCUUAUUCUUUUUCUAGAUCUGCUUUGCUAUGAAACAUGGUAUGUGCAACUAUACAUAUAUACUCCAUGCUGGGCUUCCUAUAUGAGGAAAGAAAUCUGGAGAAAAGUGACUCUCAACCUUACAAGAGUUAGAGUCUUAUUUCCCUCCCUCAUCCUAGUACCUUUGACCAUCAAGUUAUAUUUAAUUAGCCUUGUAUGGGAGGGUAAUACUUUUGUUUGUUGACCAGCGUGCUCUUCUCUUUUCCUCAUGACUUCACCAUCGAUCCAAGGGAAUCCUGCAUAUGACCUGUUUGUACGUGACAAGAGUGAUGUGUGGAAUAGGAAGCCAGCCUAGAACUUGAGCAGGACAAAUGUGUCAUCUGUUUUGUCAUGGCUGGUCUUGAGCAAUAGAACCUGUGGUGGCCAUAGAGAGGAAUGGGAAGGGCACCAACCUGCAGGUCAGAAGGUGAUAUUCACACGCAAGUAUACUUCUGUAAAUGCAUAGACUUCCUGGAAGAAUGCACAAGAAACUGGUAACAGAGGUUGCUGCUGCAGUAGGUCCUGAAGUGGGAACCUGGUCUCAGAAUACAGCGCUCCCUGCCAACCAGCUGCCAUCUCUCCCCACCCAGUCAGUCUGGUGAUCAACAGCAUCCACGUCAGGAACUGCAGGCUGUGCCUUAGGUUUUGAACUCUUCUUGGAUGGAUAUUUAUAUUUAUCAGGUCUUGAAGUCAAGCCGAGGAAUUUGUACUCUCAAUGGGAUGGUUAAGAGAGAAGAACAUUUGUAAUAGGUGGGAGGGUGACUGUGUUAGAUGCAUCAGAGUCAUUUUGGGUAAUGGGAACUGAGAAAUACUCCAGGAUGAGUUGAUCAGAAUGGCACUCAUGAUGUUCUAGGAUGAUGCUUCAGUGAGAGAAGAGGAUAGGAACCAGAAGAUAGGCAAAGAGAAUGUUUAAAAUGAAGGGAGAUAUGAGGAGAAUGGGGGCAGUGGCUUAGACUCCUCUUUAUGAAGAAGAUGGUGGGUGCACACAGCAUAUACAGGUUGUUUUUAAGACAGAGGACACCUGAGACUCUGAUGGUUGGGGGGAAGAAGCCAUUAGAAUAGAAGAGGUGCUAGAGAGGAGGGACCAACCAAGGAAGCAAAAUACCAGAGAAGAAACAUCCCUCCCCUUGAGACUUGUGGAAAGAAGUAGAAUAAGAGGAAAUUCCCUUAUAAUUUACUGUUUUCAAUUAAAAAGUUGAAAUGCCCUUCAUAAAAUGCACAUGAGAAAGUAAAAUAUGAGACUGUUAUCAGCCAGGAACACUCUAAUUUAAACCAGCUUGAGAAAUCUGUGGGUAAUAAACUCGUGAUUAAGUAUUUAUUAAACUUUUAUUGUUCACAUGCCCUAAGCGUUUGGACUUCUGCCAAUACUCUGAAAAGAAAGACAAAAUUAUUUCAAAAUGUUUACAUUAUAUUAAAUAGAAAACUUUGAGUAUUAAUCUGGACUUAACAUCUUGUAACUUUUAGUCAUCUUCAACCAAGCUGGUCGCUAUUAUCUCUUACAACGAAAAAGGUGUGUGCCCAAUUAAGUGGUUGAAUAUUGACUAAGCACCUACGACUUACAAGUACUAGUGUUCAGUCCUGGUUUAGUGGCUGUCAGAAAAAUGGUGGAGGAACAGGGUGGAGAGCUGUGCCAGGAUGGCCUGGAGAGCCAGAAAUGUGAUGAGCUGUCCAGACGCACAGCAAAUAUUUAAAGCCUAGAAUCUCAGGCCCUUGAAACAGGAGGUUUUAUAGCACAGUAUAUACAAAAUAUUUUAUUAUCAGUGGAGUAGUGGAUAUAAUACUGAAGAAACAUCCUCUGUUCGUAGGAAGGGAGAUCAAAAGAAAGAAAUCCUUCUCUUUGGCAAUGUUUUCGUUGUGCCAAAGAUAAAGCAAGGGAGUCCUUUGACGAACUUUUUAUUGGAGUCUGAGUUUAAAUAUGUGGCACAUAAACAAAUAACAAUCUCCUCAGCUUAGACUCCUCAUCAGUUUAAAAUAGACCAAUAAUAUCUUCUUGCCUGAAGACGGUUGGCUGGGCUGGAUGCUAUUUUUAAAGUCCACUUGAGCGCCAAGAUUUCUAUUUCUAUGAUAAAACCAGUCUGAUGCAUAGAAAAUAUAAUGCAUUUAUUGUUCCUUUUCUUUUUUUUCUUUUUUUUUUUUUUUUUGUGGUACGCGGGCCUCUCACUGUUGUGGCCUCUC